UACAUUCUGCCCCUUGAUGUCUCGAUGAAUUACUUUAUGCUGGUGUAGAUGACUCAAACCCUAGAAAAUUCAGUGGAUAAGCAAGGAUUCUCCUGACGCAUGCACCUCUGUACCUGGAGUAUCUGCUCACUGACAGCCUGGCUGCAGUUGGAGUUAUCCUGAUUUAGGAUAAUUCUUGGGAGAACCACCCCUCAGCUGAUCUGUCUGUAAGUGACAUUAUAUCUUCGGAAAGGCUGACUGAGUGCAGUCCCUCCCAGCUGUGGCAGAGAGCAGCACGGCAGGGCACAGAAGCAGGGACUCUGAGGUACUUGCCAAGGGAAUUGGGACUGGACUUUAACAGCAGCAGCAACACUGACAGCUUCAGCCCAUCUCAACAAGCUUCUUCUCUUUUCUCCAAAAGGGAAGCUACCACCAUCUUUAAUACCAUCUGAGAGAUGGUCAGACAGGGGGAGGUUUCCUUCUAAAGACU